UACGUAGGGGGCUAGCGUUGUCCGGAAUCAUUGGGCGUAAAGAGCGCGUAGGCGGCUAGAUAAGUCCGGUGUGAAAGUCACAGGCUCAACCUGUGAAUGCCGCUGGAAACUGUCUGGCUAGAGUCCGGAAGGGGCGAGUGGAAUUCCUGGUGUAGCGGUGAAAUGCGCAGAUAUCAGGAAGAACACCCGUGGCGAAGGCGGCUCUCUGGGACGGUACUGACGCUGAGGCGCGAAAGCGUGGGGAGCGAACAGG
rnacentral:rRNA from 1 species